UACGUAGGUGACAAGCGUUGUCCGGAUUUACUGGGCGUAAAGAGCGCGCAGGCGGUCGUUCAAGUCGAGUGUGAAAGCCCCCGGCUCAACUGGGGAGGGUCACUCGAUACUGAUCGACUCGAAGGCAGGAGAGGGAAGUGGAAUUCCCAGUGUAGCGGUGAAAUGCGUAGAUAUUGGGAGGAACACCGGUGGCGAAGGCGGCUACCUGGACCGGUUCUGACGCUGAUGCGCGAAAGCGUGGGUAGCAAGCAGG
rnacentral:rRNA from 1 species